UACGAAGGGGGCUAGCGUUGCUCGGAAUCACUGGGCGUAAAGCGCACGUAGGCGGGCUCUUAAGUCGGUGGUGAAAUCCUGGAGCUCAACUCCAGAACUGCCUUCGAUACUGAGAGUCUCGAGUCCGGGAGAGGUGAGUGGAACUGCGAGUGUAGAGGUGAAAUUCGUAGAUAUUCGCAAGAACACCAGUGGCGAAGGCGGCUCACUGGCCCGAUACUGACGCUGAGGUGCGAAAGCGUGGGGAGCAAACAGG
rnacentral:rRNA from 1 species